rnacentral:rRNA from 1 species
AACCAAGAAAUUUAGUCAUUCUUUUAUGGUAAAAAGACAGUUAGGCAGGGAUAGGUGAAAUUAUUGGACCUUUAGUAAAGGAGUAAAAUCUAAAUACUAAAAGUUAUACCAGAGAUAAUUUAUUUAAGAUGUUGAAUCUGUGACAGCUUUAAGGGAAACUGGGAUUGGAUACCCCAUUAUUUUUAGUUAUAAAUUCAGCUUAAGCUUACCGGAGUACUACGAAUAAAAAGUUUAAAACUCAAAGGGCUUGGCGGUGUUUUAGACCUCUCAGGGGAACCUGUCUCGUAAUCGACAAUCCACGUUAGACCUAACCUUUUAUAGUAAUACAGCUUGUAUACCGUCGUCGUCAGGUAACUUCUUAAAAUGUAGCAGUUAGCUUGAGAAUUUGAUUAAUUAGAACGUCAGAUCAAGGUGCAGCUAAUGAAGGGGUGAGGAUGGGUUACAAUUACAUAUUUGUAAAUACGGAAAAAUACUUGAAAUGAAGUAUCUUAAAGGAGGACUUGAAAGUAAUUCUAUUUAUAUAAAUAGAAUGAAUAAGGCUCUGAAACGUGC